rnacentral:rRNA from 1 species
UACGUAGGGAGCAAGCGUUGUCCGGAAUCAUUGGGCGUAAAGCGCGCGUAGGCGGCCCUGUAAGUCCGUUGUGAAAGUCAAAGGCUCAACCUUUGAAAGCCGGUGGAUACUGUGGGACUAGAGUACGGAAGAGGCGAGUGGAAUUCCUGGUGUAGCGGUGGAAUGCGCAGAUAUCAGGAGGAACACCAAUAGCGAAGGCAGCUCGCUGGGACGUUACUGACACUGAGGCGCGAAAGCGUGGGGAGCGAACAGG